UCCUCCGUCUCAUUCCCCUCGUCCCUGGUGGUGGCACACCACUCGUAUCUUCCUCUCUCCACCAAACGCGAGCUCCUCUCCCCCGCACCACUCCUCGCCGCCACCACCACCACCACCUAUGGCGCCCGAUCCCGUCCUCUAGUGGCGCCGAGCUCACAACGGUGACCCCAUCCCUCCGCUCCUUCCUCUCAUCGGGCCAGAUCGGGCGCGCGCGUCCUCUAGUGGCCAAGCGCGACCCCCGAUUCAGCCGGCCCGCCGCCCGCGCCCGCGUGCCACCACCCGCUCCUCCUCGCCUCCCAUAGGACGCAGACCCCACGCCACUCUUCCUCCGCCCACCGACCCACCCCGUCCCUGAUGCCUCACUCGCCGCCUUCCGCCGCAGGGCCGCCGCGCUCGUCCCGUCCUUGGUGCCGCACCUCCACCGCCACCUCCGCUGGCUCCUCGCCAACGCCCCCGCCUCGUGCACGAGCGUCCGGAGCACGUCGUCCACCCCGCGCAUGCGGCGCUCGACAAGCUCGACGUCUUCCGUAAUGGAAGCACCCGGAUCCCUCGGUUUCCUUCUUUGGUUUUUUCCUCCAUUGAUUGGCUUAGCUUCACUGACUGGCGGGGAACUGAUUUGGGCGUUUGCAGAUAUGGAGCAGGACAUCAAGGACCCGGAGCACCCCUACUCGCUGGAGCACAUAUGAUGUGUGCUCUCCCAGGAGUGUGAGGAGGAGCCUGUGGCUGAGACUGCAUCGGGACAGAUGCUGCAACCCAUCACAGCGAAUUCCUCGGCCUCUGUUACGGCCGAUGCAGCAGUUACUCAGGACACCAUUCAUACCUCGCUUCCACUUCUACAUUUUCUUUCUCUGUUCUAGUUACUUAUGUGAUUUAUUCAUGUAGAAUCUCUACUUUAUGCCAAUAGCUGCCUGUACCAUUGUUCUACUAUCUGUGUGAUGUCGAACAACAUGCUCUUAAUCUAUUGCUAAAUUCUGUGUACUUGUGACGUAGCUGACAUGUAGAAUCUCUACUUAAUAUGCCAAUAGUUGACGUGUAUUAUGUGCCAACAUGCCAAUUGUUGCUGCUGUAUUCUGUGUACUUGUGAUGUACUCCGUAGCUGACAUGUGGAAUCUCUACUUAAUAUGCCAAUAGCUGACAUGUAGAAUCUCUAGUUAAUAUGUUCUACCAGUAUUAUGUGCUUUCUAUCCUGCAAUGCUAUCGGGGUAAUGCAAUUGUUGCUGCUGUAUUCUGAUUACUUGUUGUGACUAGUAUUGAGAGAUUUUGGUGGUUGCUUUUAGUAUAUUUAACUUGGAGUUCUCCAGUACUCCUAGAUUUGCUACUCAAACAAAUUUUGAGUACUUUCAUUGGAAAGGAGUGAAAUACUCCUGGUACUUGCAUAGGUUUAAAAAUUACUUGCAUAGGUUUAAAAAUAUUGAUGGUACUUGUGAUGAAACCAACAAGCAACUUGCUAACCUCUUUCAGUGUUCAAUCAUCUUUUCAUUCUUAAAUUUUAGUGUUCAAUUUCAGAUUAUACAAACUGGUGUCUGUUGUUCUUUUUCUUUUUUGAACUAAACUAGAAGUAGGAAUUCAUUUUAUCGGGUUAGUGUUGUAAAUUGUGGAUGCUUCCUUUUUGUUAUUGGCUUAUUACUUGCUUGAUUUGGGACAUCUACAACUGAAAUUAUUAAGAUGCCAUAUUUUUUAUAUUACUCCAUGCUCACCAAGUUAUUGAGUUGAAGUUGUCGUUGUUUGCUGUCAAGAUUUGCUUAUCCUGAAUACAUGGUUAUGUUUUGUGUACUGCUGUCCUGAUGUUGAGCUGUUCAAUUUCACUGUUGUACCGCUGUCAAGAUCCUGCUGUACCGCUAUUCAGUUUUAGUUAAAUUUCAGUACUGUUGGAGUAAAUUUCGCUGUUCGAUGAUUGUACUCCAGUGUUCAAUUUUCGCUGUUCAAUGAUUGUACUCCAGUGUUUAAUUUCCUGAUUGAGUAAAUUUCAAUGUUCAAUUUCAGUAAAAGCAGUACAUGUACCAGCGGCAGCAGCUCCUGUGGCAGCGGCGGUAGCACCUGGGCAGGUGUGGAACAGCCUGGGCUUGGAAUGGCCUGAGCGCGGGCCAGGAGGAGCCCCUGCGUGUGGGCGGCAGCAGAGCACGCCUGGGCGGAGGCGGCGCCUACUCUACUUGCUUGGCUACUACAGUGAUGCAUGCACCGGUGAAGCACGCACACAUGCUUGCUUGUUCGCAUGUAUCUUCAUUGCUACGAACAUCAUCUAGAUGACAAGCUACAAGCUCCCAGCGCGUCUGAUCCAGGGUGCAUUAGGGCCAACCUGUUACGGAAGAUGGCCAUGCUCACGAGCCCCUCUGGAUCAAAAUAGAUGGCAAAUUGUGGCAGCUGGAGCAUGUCUCACUAGAGAGAGCAAUGAAAUCCAUUGUAUUGUUCCGUCAAAACAAAAGUACAUUGUACUGUUAUGAUAGUAGCAGAAGUUUCGUCAUUUUCUUAUUGUAUAUUCCCUUCGUUCCUGCUAUAUUCCUGUGUAAGGAAAUGUAUUCCUGAGAUGAUUUUUUGUGUUAUGUAAACCUGGGAGAUGUGUUAUGUGAUGUGAUAUGAUGGUUGACUUGAAUUUGACCUGGA